rnacentral:tRNA from 1 species
AGCCCCGUGGUGUAGCGGCCAAGCAUGCGAGGCUCUGGACCUCGCGACGGCGGUUCGAAUUAACCCUUUCCGC